CCUACGGGUGGCUGCAGUAGGGAAUAUUGCUCAAUGGGGGAAACCCUGAAGCAGCAACGCCGCGUGGAGGAUGAAGGUUUUCGGAUUGUAAACCCCUUUUGUUAGAGAAGAGAAUGACGGUAUCUAACGAAUAAGCACCGGCUAACUCCGUGCAAGCAGCCGCGGUAAUACGGCGGGUGCAAGCGUUACACGGAAUAACUGGGCGUAAAGCGCGCGUAGGCGGGAUAGCAAGUCAGAUGUGAAAUCCUAUGGCUUAACCUUAGAACUGCAUUUGAAACUGUUAUUCUAGAGUAUGGGAGAGGUAGGUGGAAUUCUUGGUGUAGGGGUGAAAUCCGUAGAUAUCAAGAGGAAUACUCAUUGCGAAGGCGGCCUGCUAGAACAUAACUGACGCUGAUGCGCGAAAGCGUGGGGAGCAAACAGGAUUAGAUACCCCUGUAGUC
rnacentral:rRNA from 1 species